GGGUCGAUGGCGUAGUUGGUUAUCGCAUCUGUCUUACAUACAGUGGUUUGGAAGUACACAGAAGGUCCUCAGUUCGAGCCUGGGUCGACUCA